rnacentral:rRNA from 1 species
UACGUAGGGGGCAAGCGUUAUCCGGAUUUACUGGGUGUAAAGGGAGCGUAGACGGAGCAGCAAGUCUGAUGUGAAAGGCAGGGGCUCAACCCCUGGACUGCAUUGGAAACUGUUGAUCUUGAGUACCGGAGAGGUAAGCGGAAUUCCUAGUGUAGCGGUGAAAUGCGUAGAUAUUAGGAGGAACACCAGUGGCGAAGGCGGCUUACUGGACGGUAACUGACGUUGAGGCUCGAAAGCGUGGGGAG